UACGUAGGUCCCGAGCGUUGUCCGGAUUUAUUGGGCGUAAAGCGAGCGCAGGUGGUUUAUUAAGUCUGGUGUAAAAGGCAGUGGCUCAACCAUUGUAUGCAUUGGAAACUGGUAGACUUGAGUGCAGGAGAGGAGAGUGGAAUUCCAUGUGUAGCGGUGAAAUGUGUAGAUAUAUGGAGGAACACCGGUGGCGAAAGCGGCUCUCUGGCCUGUAACUGACACUGAGGCUCGAAAGCGUGGAGAGCAAACAGG
rnacentral:rRNA from 1 species